rnacentral:rRNA from 1 species
CACCUGCCUUAACAGCUAGCCCAACCACAAGUUUUAUCAAUCAACAUUAACUAAACCCUCACACCCUUCAUAGUAAAACUAAAUCAUUUUUCCACCUAAGUAUGGGAGACAAAAAAGGACUUUAGGCGCUAUAGAAUAAGUACCGCAAGGGAAAGGUGAAAGAGAAAAUGAAAGAAAGCACCAAAGGCAAGAACAGCAGAGAUUACCCCUCGUACCUUUUGCAUCAUGAGCUAGCCAGUACCUUGCAAGCAAAGAGCCCUUAACGUUUGAGGCCCCGAAACUGGGCGAGCUACUCCAAGACAGCCUAUUUUAGGGCGAACCCGUCUCUGUGGCAAAAGAGUGGGAAGAGCUUCGAGUAGAGGUGAAAGACCUACCGAGCCCAGUGAUAGCUGGUUUUCUGGGAAAUGAACAGGAGUUCUCCCUUUUAUUCUCCUUCCCCCAAAUUUAGGCUCACAGCCUCCCAGGGAUCAAAGGAAGUAAAAGAGCUAGUCAACAGAGGGACAGCUCUCUUGACAAAAAGAAACAACUUUAUUAGGAGGAAAAGGACUAAAACCAACCUAAAGGGGCGCACCUUAGUGGGCCUAAAAGCAGCCACCUACAAAGAAAGCGUUAAAGCUCAAGAGCAACUCUUCCUUAUAAUUUUAGCAAAACCAUCCCAUGCCCCUUAAAACUACCAGAACCUCCCAUGUAUACAUGGGAAAGACAAUGCUAGCAUGAGUAAUAAGAGAGCAGAGCCUCUCUCCUUGUCAUCUGUGUAACUCAGAACAAACCCCCACUGACAAUUAACGCCGCCACCUCCAGAGGCAACUGAAGGAGCCCACAGGAAACUAGAAAAGCUCUCAACACCAAAGCGUUAUCCCCACACAGGAAUGACUAAGGAAAGACAAAAAGGGAAAGAAGGAACUCGGCAAACAAAUUUAUUGCCCCGCCUGUUUACCAAAAACAUCGCCUCUUGCCCAAACCCCUAUAAGAGGUCCCGCCUGCCCUGUGACUAGUAGUUCAACGGCCGCGGUAUUUUGACCGUGCGAAGGUAGCGUAAUCACUUGUCUUUUAAAUGAAGACCUGUAUGAAUGGCAUAACGAGGGCUAAGCUGUCUCCUUUUCCAAGUCAAUGAAAUUGAUUUGCCCGUGCAGAAGCGGGCAUACCCCCAUAAGACGAGAAGACCCUAUGGAGCUUCAGACCCCUGGACGGACCAUGUUAAAAGGACCAAAACACCGGCCGUAAACAAAGUGGCCCCGUUCACAGUCUUUGGUUGGGGCGACCGCGGAGCAACGAGAAUCCUCCACGUGGAAUGGGGACUUCCCCCUUGACGCAAGACCUACAGGUCUAGCAAACAGAAAAUCUGACCAUAAAGAUCCGGCAAAGCCGAUCAACGGACCGAGUUACCCUAGGGAUAACAGCGCAAUUCUCUUCUAGAGCCCAUAUCGACAAGAGAGUUUACGACCUCGAUGUUGGAUCAGGACAUCCUAAUGGUGCAGCCGCUAUUAAGGGUUCGUUUGUUCAACGAUUAAAGUCCUACGUGAUCUGAGUUCAGACCGGAGCAAUCCAGGUCAGUUUCUAUCUAUGGAUAGAUCCCUUUUCUAGUACGAAAGGACCGAAAAGGGAGGGCCCAUGCUUAAAGCACGCCCUGCCUCAACCCCCUGCCCCCUACUAAAGAGGGCAAAGAGGCACGCCCCAAAAAGCCCAAGAAAAGGGCUA